GAUGAACGCUGGCGGCGUGCCUAAUACAUGCAAGUCGAGCGAACGGACGAGGAGCUUGCUCCUCUGACGUUAGCGGCGGACGGGUGAGUAACACGUGGAUAACCUACCUAUAAGACUGGGAUAACUUCGGGAAACCGGAGCUAAUACCGGAUAAUAUAUUGAACCGCAUGGUUCAAUAGUGAAAGACGGUUUUGCUGUCACUUAUAGAUGGAUCCGCGCCGCAUUAGCUAGUUGGUAAGGUAACGGCUUACCAAGGCAACGAUGCGUAGCCGACCUGAGAGGGUGAUCGGCCACACUGGAACUGAGACACGGUCCAGACUCCUACGGUAGGCAGCAGUAGGGAAUCUUCCGCAAUGGGCGAAAGCUUGACGGAGCAACGCCGCGUGAGUGAUGAAGGUCUUCGGAUCGUAAAACUCUGUUAUUAGGGAAGAACAAAUGUGUAAGUAACUAUGCACGUCUUGACGGUACCUAAUCAGAAAGCCACGGCUAACUACGUG
rnacentral:rRNA from 1 species